rnacentral:lncRNA from 1 species
AAGUAACUUUGAGCUAUGAAUUCAGCCGUAUAGACAACCUUAGGGGUUCUGGCUCACAUGUUAUAUUCCUAUGAAUUUAAUCUUACCUGAAUUGCUUACUCUAUUAUAUCUUGGCAUGGCAUACAUAUGAAAAUGAUUAUGUGAAGCAUGAAUUGAUAUGAUUUCGUAUAUAUUUAUGUAUAUGCUUAUUUCUUAAUUCUGGGAAAAAUUAUACAUGUUUUACAGCGAGGGGUUA